AACGAACGCUGGCGGCAUGCCUAACACAUGCAAGUCGAACGAGACCUUCGGGUCUAGUGGCGCACGGGUGCGUAACGCGUGGGAAUCUGCCCUUGGGUUCGGAAUAGCAGUUAGAAAUGACUGCUAAUACCGGAUGAUGACUUCGGUCCAAAGAUUUAUCGCCCAGGGAUGAGCCCGCGUCGGAUUAGCUAGUUGGUGAGGUAAAAGCUCACCAAGGCGACGAUCCGUAGCUGGUCUGAGAGGAUGAUCAGCCACACUGGGACUGAGACACGGCCCAGACUCCUACGGGAGGCAGCAGUGGGGAAUAUUGGACAAUGGGCGAAAGCCUGAUCCAGCAAUGCCGCGUGAGUGAUGAAGGCCUUAGGGUUGUAAAGCUCUUUUACCCGGGAUGAUAAUGACAGUACCGGGAGAAUAAGCCCCGGCUAACUCCGUGCCAGCCGCCGCAGUAAAAC
rnacentral:rRNA from 1 species